rnacentral:rRNA from 1 species
UUCGCAAUGCCCGAAAGGGUGACGAAGCGACGCCGCGUGUGGGAAGAAGGCCUUCGGGUUGUAAACCACUGUCGGGAGUUAAGAAAUACAAGGAUAUUAAUAGUGUCUUUGUUUGACCAAGGCUCCGGAGGAAGCCACGGCUAACUCUGUGCCAGCAGCCGCGGUAAUACAGAGGCGGCAAGCGUUGUUCGGAAUUAUUGGGCGUAAAGAGCACGUAGGCGGCUAUGUAAGUCGGUUGUGAAAGCCUUCCGCUCAACGGAAGAACAGCAUCCGAUACUACAUGGCUUGAGUGCGGGAGGGGAGAGUGGAACUUCUGGUGGAGCGGUGAAAUGCGUAGAUAUCAGAAGGAACGCCGGCGGCGAAAGCGGCUCUCUGGCCCAUAACUGACGCUGAGUGUGCGAAAGCUAGGGGAGCAAACGGGAUUAGAUACCCCGGUAGUCCUAGCCGUAAACGAUGGGCACUAAGUAGAGGGGUUUUA